rnacentral:rRNA from 1 species
UGAGGAAUAUUGGUCAAUGGACGCAAGUCUGAACCAGCCAAGUAGCGUGCAGGAUGACGGCCCUAUGGGUUGUAAACUGCUUUUAUAUGGGGAUAAAGUGGGGAACGUGUUCCCUUUUGCAGGUACCAUAUGAAUAAGGACCGGCUAAUUCCGUGCCAGCAGCCGCGGUAAUACGGAAGGUUCGGGCGUUAUCCGGAUUUAUUGGGUUUAAAGGGAGCGUAGGCCGUUUGGUAAGCGUGUUGUGAAAUGUAGGAGCUCAACUUCUAGAUUGCAGCGCGAACUGUCAGACUUGAGUGCGCACAACGUAGGCGGAAUUCAUGGUGUAGCGGUGAAAUGCUUAGAUAUCAUGAAGAACUCCGAUUGCGAAGGCAGCUUACGGGAGCGCAACUGACGCUGAAGCUCGAAGGUGCGGGUAUCAAACAGG